GAGUGGGAUAGGAGGGAGAGACAACCCCACAGACAUCCAGGUCCUUGAAGAAGGAGGCAGGAAGGCAUGACAGAGGAGUUAUGCUCCUUUGGCCCAUGACCACAGAGGACCCCAUGUUGGAGCAAAGGAUUGAUCCUGAAGGAGGUCAUGACUCUGAUGGAGGCCUGUUCUGGAGUGAUCCAUGGCUGAGAGGAUUGCAGCCUGUGAAGGGGAACCGCUCUAAUUGGAGAAACUUGUGGGGGAUGGUUUCCUGUGGGAAGGAUGCUAUGUUGCCGCAGGGGACAACUGUGAGGAGUUAUCCUCCUGAGGAGGAAGAAGCAGCAGAAACAAUGAUCAGGUACUCUCUGCAAACCCCAUUCCCUGCCCUCCUGCACAGCUAAGGGAGAGCUGAGCCCAAGAAGGAAAGAGGAGAUGGGAAAAAGGAUUGUAUUUAUAACUGCUCUGAUCUGAUUCGAUUGGUGAAUGAGUGGUGGCCAUGUUCUUCAAGGUACAUCAAUUUUGUUUCUCCAAGUUGAGUCUGUCUAUAACCAGUGUUCAUAACUAGUGAGUGACCCCUCCCUGUCCUUUGUCUCAACUUUCCUGCCUUUCGUUGUAUUUUUCUACUCCACAUCUAUCAGAGGGGGUAGCAGUGAGUGAGCAGCUGCCAAGUGCUUUGGUGACAGCUGAGUGGGCUCAAACCAUGACAGGUAGUUGCUCUAGGAUUCCUUUGUAGUGACUGGAAGAGCCAGACUCUCAAUAAGGCACACAAGAAUGGGAUCAGCUGCAGAAUGCUUUUCUCCUGUCAAGUAUAUUGGCAGCCUCAAGCAAUGACAUUCAUACCUUAUGUUUAAGCUUUCCAGAACACUGACCUUGAGAUAGAACUGCAGUUUCAGGCCAAAAGAUUUAGCCCAGGCAGGGUUAUUUAAGAAGCCUGAAAGCAUGGGUUUAUAUAACAUGUUGCAAAUCCAUAACUACCAGCUACUGUCAGUUUUAGUCAGCUAUAAGUCUGACUUAAUCUAGUUGAAAUGUGUUUUUCAGCAAACAGCAGGAAGUCAAUGAUCUUAGAAUAGAUUUUAUUAAGAACAAAGUGACAUAAGGAACAGUUUGUAUGACUGCUUGUAGCUCACAAAAACAGUUUUAGAACUUAUUUUUUAAGGAAAAAAUGUUAAGUCCUUCUAUUAGCAGCAAACUUUGCAUUAUAAGACAGAUCAGGACAGAAGGUGUGAGGAAAUUUGCUAAACUCUUCCUCUUUUAAAACUGAUCAACAAUUAAGAAUAAAUAAAUUGAAUCAUCCAAUUGUUUGAAGUUGUAAGAGAAUACUCAAUACUUCCUUUUCAUCUUGCCUGUUCAGAAACAAAAAAGCACUUAGGAGUAUUCAUCAUCUUCUCAUGAAUUUAACCAGUCUCACAUCUUCACUGAAAGGGUUAUCAAACACUGGAAUAGGCUCCCCAGGGAGGUGGUUGGAACAGAAUGACUGGAAGGGAUCCUUGGGCUUGUCUUGCCUGACCUCCCCUGCAGUAAGCAAGUACAUCUCCAAAUAGAUCAGACUGCUUGUGGCCCUAUCAAGUUUGACCUUGAAUGUCCCCAGGGAUGAGGCCUCCACCACAUCUCUUGGCAGUCUGUUCCACUACCUUUAUUGUGAAGAACUUCCUCCUUAUGUAUAACCUAAAUCUACCCUGCUCUAGUUUAAAACCAUUGACUCCUGCCCUAUUGCUGCAAGCCUUUUUAAACAGUCCCUCUCCAGCCUUCCUGUAGGUCCCCUUCGGGCGCUGAAAUGCUCCUUCUUUU